GGGAGCAGCAGUAGGGAAUCUUCCGCAAAGAUGGGAGAGAAUGAGGGAGCACGCCCGCGUGAGUGAUGAGGCUUUCGGGUCGUAAAACUCUUUUGUUAGGGAAGAAAAGUGCUAGUUGAAUAAGCUGGCACCUUGCCGGUACCUAACCAGAAAGCCACGGCUAACUACGUGCCAGCAGCCGCGGUAAUACGUAGGUGGCAAGCGUUAUCCGGAAUUAUUGGGCGUAAAGCGCGCGCAGGUGGUUUCUUAAGUCUGAUGUGAAAGCCCACGGCUCAACCGUGGAGGGUCAUUGGAAACUGGGAGACUUGAGUGCAGAAGAGGAAAGUGGAAUUCCAUGUGUAGCGGUGAAAUGCGUAGAGAUAUGGAGGAACACCAGUGGCGAAGGCGACUUUCUGGUCUGUAACUGACACUGAGGCGCGAAAGCGUGGGGAGCAAACAGGAUUAGAUACCCUGGUAGUCCACGCCGUAAACGCUUAGUGCUAGGUGUUAGAGGGUUUCCGCCCUUUAGUGCUGAAGUUAACGCAUUAAGCACUCCGCCUGGGGAGUCGGGCGCAAGGCUGAACUCAAUGAUUUGGCGGGGG
rnacentral:rRNA from 1 species